GUGAUCGCUUUGGAAGCACAUAUACUAAACUUGGAACCAUACAGAAAAGAUUCCUAUGGCCCUGUGCAAGGAUGACACACAAAUUCCUGAAAUGUUCCAUAUUUUU